GGGUCGAUGCCCGAGUGGUUAAAGGGGGCGGACUGUAAAUCCGCUGGUUACGCCUACGUUGGUUCAAAUCCAACUCGGCCCA
rnacentral:tRNA from 1 species